rnacentral:rRNA from 1 species
AACAUCUAAGUACCCCGAGGAAAAGAAAUCAACCGAGAUUCCCCCAGUAGCGGCGAGCGAACGGGGAGGAGCCCAGAGCCUGAAUCAGCAUGUGUGUUAGUGGAAGCGUCUGGAAAGGCGCGCGAUACAGGGUGACAGCCCCGUACACAAAAGCGCAUGUGCUGUGAGCUCGAUGAGUAGGGCGGGACACGUGGUAUCCUGUCUGAAUAUGGGGGGACCAUCCUCCAAGGCUAAAUACUCCUGACUGACCGAUAGUGAACCAGUACCGUGAGGGAAAGGCGAAAAGAACCCCGGCGAGGGGAGUGAAAAAGAACCUGAAACCGUGUACGUACAAGCAGUGGGAGCCCCACCACUAAGCCAGUGGUGAACUCCACAUACGCAUCCUUUGCUGAGGAUACGGUUAACGGAGCGAAAGCGACGUUCAACCGCAAAAGAAGCAGAGGGGGCUUAGUGGUGGGGUGACUGCGUACCUUUUGUAUAAUGGGUCAGCGACUUAUAUUCUGUAGCAAGGUUAACCG